CCAUGUAAACUUACUUUAUUAUUAUAAUAUUAUCAUAUUAAUACAUUUAUCAAUUUUCAUAUUGAAUUUUGUUUUCAUUUAACGUUUCUGAUUUUUUUAAUUCACCAUAAAACAUGAAUAGUAUUUUAUUACAUGGUUUAAAUAAUUUGGAUAAUGUUAAUAAUUCUUUGAAUACAAAACAAAAUGUUCUUAUUCAUAGUUUAUUAAAAAGUUCUGAUGUCUGUAUAACAAAUUGUACGCUGGUCAUUCGUUUGUAUACUGAUUUAAAAGUAAAUUGAGGUAGGUAAGUAAAUUAUUUAUAAUAAUCUAUAUAAUAUAUUAUUAUUUUCAAUAUACCUAACCUCUAGUUUUCGAUGUGCAAAAUGAAACUUUGUUAUAAUCAACAUACCACUAAUGAAAAAAGGCCUGUAAUUUAUUUUAAAAAGCAGCCUUAAUGAUAACAUGGUAUUUCAGUAACUCUGACAUUGUGGUAUUUUUUUUUUUUUUAAAACUACUUAAUAAUUAUAAUUUUUCACACUCUCUUUUAAGGUUGGUGAUAGUUUUGGUGUGAAUAAAGGUUAUUAUUAUUGAACAAUGCAUAAGUAUUUUUGAUUUCUUUCAAAUCUUGAUGAUUAAAUCUAUACAUUUUUUAUCAGAAAAAUAAUAAUUUUUCAAUAGGAAAUUAUGUUCAAUACAUGUAGUAAUUUAUCAAGCUUUUGGGUAGUUAUUGAGUCAUUUUCAUAGGUUAGUAAUUAAUUAUAGUAUCAUAAAUAUCAAUUUACUUUCCAUCCUCUUUCAUGUUAAAUAAUGUUUUAUCCCAGGUCACUGGAAGCUAAACCAAUUAAAAUAAUGGGCGCUUAUAUACUAUAAAAUCUAAUUUUAAAAAACAAUUAUCUGAUGGAAAUUAAUAUUGAUCACCACAAUUUAAAUAGUUCAACUGUAGAAAAUGAAACCAAUCAAGAGCUCUGUAUCUCAGUAGUGAUUAAUCAAACAAAUUGAGUAAUAAAAGAAAUAUGUCUACUUCAAGGUAUUUGUUAACAAAUUAAAAUUAGGUUAAAAAAAUGAUAGCACUUCAAAUUAUUACUUACAGAAUUGUCUUUCAUCAGCAAUAAUUUAUUGUUGCUUACAGAUAUAAAUGAAAUAACCUUAUGUUUCUUACCUUCCUAACUUUUCACCUACAUUUGUGGUCGCAGCCAUCUCUAAUACAGCUCUUUUUUUUAAAUAUAUAUGAAAAUAAUUAUCUGAUUUCUUAAAUGUAUUUUAAAUUACUAUCAAGAUACUUGUUUCUGUAUCUUGAUAACUUUUUUAAGUGGAGUAUCUAUAUCUGUAUCUAGAUACUAAUUUAAAGUAUCUUAUUAUAGCACUGAAAGUAGGUAGUGUUUUUACAUCCAAAAAUAAGGGCAACAAAAAAAAUAACAUUAAUAUAAAAUUGUAGAGCUGUUUGUUUCUUAAAUGUUCUAUAAAACAAAGUCUGAAAAAAGAUAAUAUUGUCCAAUAUAAUGAGUGUCUCGCAAUAGAUUGAUCAUUCUGUAAAUAAUAGGUGGGUAUAUUGACAGAAUACUAUUAUAAAUGGCACCAUGAUAGACCAUGAAUAACAUAGUACUAUGCAAUAAAUAAUAAAAAUAUUUACUGAUGUAUUAGGCUAAAAUUACAGUAUUAGAUAAUAUAGGUUAUUAAAAAAAAUAUUUUUUGAGUUAUUUACAUUAUUUUAAAUUUUUAACUUGCAAAUGUUCUAUAGAACAAUAAGAAAUUAUUGCGUUUCUCUUUACAUAUUUUUGGGGGCUUAGCCUUUCCCUAAAUACACCUAUGUUUGAAAACCUGUAUAAAUCAAUGUGGUUGUGUGUUCAUUAAAAUGUACCAGUAUCAAAUCCAUCAAUGAACACAAGAGCAUCUUUUGGAAUCUGAAUGAAAAAAUCUCUAUUAUACAGAAGUAUAUUUUAAAAAUGAUUAUAUUUUAAAUCAUCAGAGGUUUUCCUAAUUCCUGACAGUAAAAGAAUUUUCUAUUUAAUGUGUCAAAAAUAUUAUUUAAAAUGUUCCAUGUCUUGGGUUUUUUUGUAAUAUUCUGGUACCUUUACAUAACCUCUACAGAGUUACCUGAAAAUCUAAGUAUAAAAGUUAAAAUGAAAACUGAAUAACUAUUAUAACAAUAAUUAAAUAAAUAGUUUAUUUAAUAUUACAAUAUAAAAACAUAUUUAUUAAUUUAUCAUUUAGUUAUUACAUUUUAAAAUUUUAUUUUCAUAAUUAUAUAUUUGUUUAAUCUUUAUAUUAUAAUAGAUCAUUUUGUAUAGUGUUAUGAAUUACGCAAAAUUAUGAGAUCAUGUAUAUAUAACAGGCAGAAAUCUGACCCUUUGAAAUAACUAUUGUUGUGUACAAUAGUUUUAAGUUUUUUUUUCUUGUAUUAGAGUCUUGCACUAUGAUUCAUAUAUUUUAUAAGUUUCUAAAAUUGUUUUAAGUUUACAAAAAUCAUUAACAAAUUUGUGAAUCAAUAGUUUAUUUAGUAAUGGCAAUUAAAAAUAUUUAAACAUUAGAAAACUUUAAAACAUUUUUGAUAAUUAAUAAUUCAUUGUUAUUAAAUAUAUGUAACUCCAAAAUUUUAUUUCAAAAUGUAUUUAUAUAUUUGUAUAAAAUUAAUCUUAGAUAUCGCAAAAAAAAUUAGAUUUUUAAAUUGUUAGUUUUUAUAAAAAUUAAAAAAUUAUAUGCCAAAGGCUCUGGUAAUUAUUACAAGAAACAAAACUUAAAAAUAUUGAACAGAACAAAACUUAUUUCAGAUAUCAGACUAUUGUGUUGCAUUUUGUGUAUAUAAAGUAUUUACCUAAGUGGUGAAUUGGACCAAAUUUAUUAUAAUAAUUAUUAAUUAUCAGAAUAAUUUUUAUAAUUUUAUAAAUUAGAAUUGAUCUAUCAUUAUUAGUAUUUAUGCUAUUUUUAUUUUUUCCACUAAUGUUUUUCUAUUAUAGAUAUUUUGAAAUGUACAUAAUAUGUCUUAUGUAUCAUAUAGAAUAUGUUAUAUAUAUAUGUAUAUUAUAUGAUAAACUAUAACUCUUACACCUAUCUUAUAUAUAAUCUAUUCUGAACUAUUUUGAUUAAAUUUGGUGCGUCCCAGAAGUAAUAAAGAUUCUGUUUCCUUUUUUUUUGGAAGAGAUAAAAUUAAUAUAGCUAAGUUUCCAUGUAUAUUCCAAAGCCUUCCAUUUGUUGAACUGUCAUUUACUAUGCCCUAUAUUCUUAUCCCAGUGUUUUCAAAUAACUUUUACUAUUAACUGAAUAAAUAAAAUAACUAAACAUUUUUAUAAUUUUGUAGAUUAUUGUUACUAAUAAAUAGUUUUUUAUUUUUUACUAUUUACAGAUUCUUUGAAUGUGAAUAUUUCAAUUAGCUGAGUGAUUGUAACCCAAAUUUUGGAAUAUCAUCAUCAAACCAUGAUCAUCCUUUUGUUAAACAAUUUUUGCACUGGUAAAUAUAGUAUUUUAUAAGUUAACUAGAUUUCACAAUUUCUUACUGGAAAUUGGAUAUUUAUUUACUAUGUUUUGUCUUUAUUUUUUAUUUUUUAUUAUGUUUUGUAAAUAUUAUUUUAGAUUAAUUUGGUAGUAAUAAUUUUACUUAUUGGUUUAUAAAAUUUAAUAAUUUUCUCAAUGAAAAACGGUACUCAUAUUUUUAUUAUUGUUAUUUUUUUUUAAUCAUUGUCUUAUAUUAGAUUCAUGUAGUAUUAACAAACUUUUUUUAUAAAUAAGUCUACUAAUAUUUUUUUCAUUUUUAAUGUCAUGUCUAACUGAAAUACUUAAAUAGAAUAACAUUUUAUUAUAUUUUUGGCCAUUUAAUUUUGUAAUUAUAAUUAUAAUUGGUUAUAAACUUGUUAUUUUAGUAGGUACUGUG